rnacentral:pre_miRNA from 9 species
UUUCGAUAGCGUAAAAGUUAAAUCAAAUUUGUAUGGAGUUGAAACGUUUGUCUACGUUUGCCGCUAGGGGCGCUGUUCUAUCUCCAUACAAGUUUGAGUUAACUUUUACGCUAUCGA